CGAACGCUGGCGGCGUGCUUAACACAUGCAAGUCUACGAGAAAGUUUCUUUCGGGAAGCAAGUAAAGUGGCGCACGGGUGAGUAACACGUAAGUAAUCUACCUUUAGGUUUGGAAUAACUCCGAGAAAUCGGGGCUAAUACCAGAUGAUGCAGCGAUACCGCAUGGUAAUGCUGUUAAAGUCUAUAUGGCACCUAAAGACGAACUUGCGUCUGAUUAGCUUGUUGGUAAGGUAAUGGCUUACCAAGGCAACGAUCAGUAGCUGGUCUGAGAGGAUGAUCAGCCACACUGGAACUGAGACACGGUCCAGACUCCUACGGGAGGCAGCAGUGAGGAAUAUUGGGCAAUGGGCGAAAGCCUGACCCAGCAACGCCGCGUGGAGGAUGAAUGUCGUAAGAUUGUAAACUCCUGUUAGAGGGGAAGAAUAAUCCCGAUCGACUCGGGACAUGACUGUACCCUCAGAGAAAGCUCCGGCUAACUAC
rnacentral:rRNA from 1 species